rnacentral:lncRNA from 10 species
GGGAAAGGCAGCAUGAUUCACAGACUGGAGGGUGACAGUGACCAGAGCAAGUUUAACCUUUUAAAGAGGAAGGAUCUGUUGCUUGGCUACCAGGCAACAAGGAAGGCUACUCAGAGAGGGGUCCCCACAAGGGAUGAGGGACAAGUUGCCUAACCCUGUGGCAGACGGCUCUGCUUCUCUUCAUGGUAAGAGAGGAAAGUUACAGGGGUAUGCCCCCUGGCUCCCCGGCAUCCACACGCUGCUCAGACCCAGCCACCCCAAAGACACCACCCCUCCCUCAGGGACGGGGACUCCCAGGAGCCUCCCUCAGUUUCCAACUUUAGGUGCCAGGAAUGGGGCUGGGUUUCCCCCACCCUCCAGAAAGGUAGAGAAAGGAGCCAAGUGACCCUGUAAACACGUCCCCAAGGAAGAAGGCUGCGACUUCGGCGGAUGAAGCAGCCCCCUGGAAAAAGAAGGGCCCCAGGUGACUGUGGCCCUGAGAGCCAAGAGUUCAGCAGCUCUGUCCCUCUUCAUGCUGUGGCUCAGGGCAGAGCCAAGCCCCAGGUCCUGCCCGGCCCUCUCCUUCCCCAUCUCCUUCCCUCUAGCUUGGCGGCGGGGGGGCCUGUGGAUAGCUUCUGAAACACACUGCCUGCUUUCUCAUGCAGGAUAAAUGCCUCCCUCCAGAACCUGCCCAGCUUUUCCACCGCAUUAGUAAUCAGCGCACAGAACAAGCGCUUUCUCUCCCUCUCCUCCCCCGCCUCAGUCUCUCUCUCUCUUUUUUUCUCUCCCCCAGCCCCCGCUUCCUUUACCUACUCCUGCCUCCUCCCCACCUAUCAGAGUCACUGCCACCUCCCGGGAAGCUGAGAGGGUUUAUCAUCAAAUCAGGCUUUGUCAUAAAGAAAACAGAUUUAUUUUCCUCGCUUUGAGAAGGUGCUGACAGGAGCAGCGAGGGAAGGGGUGUUUUGUAUAUUGAAAGCCUUUCUCCCCCUGUGGCUAAAUCUCGCGCUAUUUUCUAAUUUACCUCAAAUGCUGCUCCUCCAGCCUGCCUCUCCAUACGCCCACGCUUUCAACCCCUACCUGUGAGCCUCUGCCCACCGGACCGGCUCACUUCUAGUCAUUCCUUCAUUCAAUGUAUUUCCCUUGUUCAGGAUGUAGAGGCCUUUCUUACAUGCCAGGGACUCCAGGUGCUGGAGAUGUGAGACAUACAGCAGGGCAA